CCUACGGGAGGCAGCAGUAAGGAAUAUUGGGCAAUGGAGGCAACUCUGACCCAGCCAUGCCGCGUGAAGGAUGAAGGCCCUAUGGGUUGUAAACUUCUUUUGUACGGGAAUAAACCUGGUUACGUGUAACCAGUUGAAUGUACCGUAAGAAUAAGCACCGGCUAACUCCGUGCCAGCAGCCGCGGUAAUACGGAGGGUGCAAGCGUUAUCCGGAUUUAUUGGGUUUAAAGGGAGCGUAGGCGGGAUUGUAAGUCAGUGGUGAAAGCCCGUAGCUCAACUACGGAACUGCCAUUGAUACUGCAGACCUAGAGUACACUUGAAGUGGGCGGAAUGUGUCAUGUAGCGGUGAAAUGCUUAGAUAUGACACAGAACACCAAUUGCGAAGGCAGCUCACUAAAUUGUAACUGACGCUGAGGCUCGAUAGCGUGGGGAUCAAACAGGAUUAGAUACCCUGGUAGUCCACGCCGUAAACGAUGAUUACUCGAUGUUGGCGAUACACUGUCNGCGUCUGAGACGAAGACAUUAAGUAACUACCACCGUACGGGUAGGUACGGUCGGCGACGACGUAGAACGUACGAACGUAGUAGUUAGUACGGACGUAGAGACGUUGCCGACGGACGACGACGAGGGAGGAGG
rnacentral:rRNA from 1 species